rnacentral:misc_RNA from 1 species
AACGCACCUUGCGCUCUUGGGCCAUUCCUAAGAGCAUGCCUGUUUGAGUGUCGUGAACUCCUCAACCCUGGUUGGAUUUUGAAUCUGACUGGUGGCUUGGACUUGGGGGUUGCUGGCCGUUUUGAUUCGGUCUGGCUCUCCUUGAAUGUAUUAGCUUGGACUUGUUACUAAGGCUGCAUAGCGUGAUAACUAUCUACGCUUUGUUUGUGUCUUUGAAACAAUGUAGAGUCUAGCUUCUAAUCGUCCUCUGGACAACACUUCAAUCUUUGACCUCAAAUCAGGUAGGACUACCCGCUGAACUUAA